GGUGGGGUGGCAGAGCGGUUGAAUGCGGCAGUCUUGAAAACUGUUAUGGGCGCAAGCCCAUCGAGAGUUCGAAUCUCUCCCCCACCG
rnacentral:tRNA from 1 species